AAAAUGCGAUAAGUAAUGUGAAUUGCAGAAUUCAGUGAAUCAUCGAAUCUUUGAACGCACAUUGCGCCCGCCAGUAUUCUGGCGGGCAUGCCUGUUCGAGCGUCAUUUCAACCCUCAAGCCCCCGGGUUUGGUGUUGGGGAUCGGGCUGCGGUUCUACCGCGUCCCGGCCCCGAAAUCUAGUGGCGGUCUCGCUGCAGCCUUUGUCAGCUUCUCGCGCAGCGAAGAUUGCGUCGACUGGGGCAUGGCGUUGGGCUCGCAUCCACAAAGUUUACCACGAUUUGACCUCGGAUCAGGUAGGGAUACCCGCUGAACUUAAGC
rnacentral:misc_RNA from 1 species